AGUGAACGUUGGCGGCGUGGAUUAGGCAUGCAAGUCGAGCGAGAACCGUAGCAAUACGGGGACAGCGGCGAAAGGGACAGUAAUGUGUAGGUACCUACCCCGAGGUCUGGGAUAGCUGCGGGAAACUGCAGGUAAUACCGGAUAAUGUCUUCGGACCAAAGGUGUGAUUCCACCUUGGGAGGGGCCUGCAUCCUAUUAGCUAGUUGGCGGGGUAAUGGCCCACCAAGGCAACGAUGGGUAGCGGGUGUGAGAGCACGACCCGCGUCAUUGGGACUGAGACACUGCCCAGACACCUACGGGUGGCUGCAGGCGAGGAUCUUCGGCAAUGGGCGAAAGCCUGACCGAGCGACGCCGCGUGCGGGAUGAAGGCCUUGGGUUGUAAACCGCUGUCGUAGAGGAGGAAAUGCAGGGGGGUUCUCCCUUCUGUUUGACCUAUUCUAGGAGGAAGUACGGGCUAAGUUCGUGCCAGCCGCCGCCGUAA
rnacentral:rRNA from 1 species